UUGUGCCCUUGAGGCGUGGCUUCCGGAGCUAACGCGUUAAGUAGACCGCCUGGGGAGUACGGCCGCAAGGUUAAAACUCAAAUGAAUUGACGGGGGCCCGCACAAGCGGUGGAGCAUGUGGUUUAAUUCGAUGCAACGCGAAGAACCUUACCUGGUCUUGACAUCCACAGAACUUUCCAGAGAUGGAUUGGUGCCUUCGGGAACUGUGAGACAGGUGCUGCAUGGCUGUCGUCAGCUCGUGUUGUGAAAUGUUGGGUUAAGUCCCGCAACGAGCGCAACCCUUAUCCUUUGUUGCCAGCGAUUAGGUCGGGAACUCAAAGGAGACUGCCAGUGAUAAACUGGAGGAAGGUGGGGAUGACGUCAAGUCAUCAUGGCCCUUACGACCAGGGCUACACACGUGCUACAAUGGCGCAUACAAAGAGAAGCGACCUCGCGAGAGCAAGCGGACCUCAUAAAGUGCGUCGUAGUCCGGAUUGGAGUCUGCAACUCGACUCCAUGAAGUCGGAAUCGCUAGUAAUCGUGGAUCAGAAUGCCACGGUGAAUACGUUCCCGGGCCUUGUACACACCGCCCGUCACACCAUGGGAGUGGGUUGCAAAAGAAGUAGGUAGCUUAACCUUCGGGAGGGCGCUUACCACUUUGUGAUUCAUGACUGGGGUGAAGUCGUAACAAGGUAACCGUAGGGGAACCUGCGGUUGGA
rnacentral:rRNA from 1 species